GGUUGUAUUCUCUCGUUACAGGCUUAUCUUUUCUUGAAUGGAAAUGGGUACAACUGUUUUAAAAAAAAAGUUUUAAGGAAGUCUCGGCUCUGAACAGAACUGCUUCAUUCUCAGUGGCUCAAGAAUGGCAUCAGGCUGCCCUGCUUCAGUGUGUUCUCUGAGCGCAGGGACUGUCCCCGGGGGACACUGACACUUAGGAACGGGUGACUUCGCAUUGGGAGCAGGAGGGGCGCGGAGUGCAGAAACGCGGCGGGCGGCGUCACCGCAGCCGGAGGCGCCUUCUGCGGUCUGCAGUAACGUGCAAGGCCAGCCGGCUCUCGCCAGUGAAGACCCGGCCAAGAGCGACUGCGGUGACGCUGCAGCCGGCAGGCACCCCUGGUGUGUCGAGAGCACAGGGCUCGGGCUCCUUCGUCGGCUCAGUGUGACGCCGACCCGUGUGAGUCGUUCUAUGGGGUCCCGGGCGGGCAAGCGGAAGAGCGUCACCCGCCUUUCCUUCCGGGGCCGCCGAGGCUGCGACCCUAUCCUGUGCGUUUAUGGAGUCCCAAGCUAUUCGGCCUCGUUGGUUGUUUUUUUUUAAUGACCUCCAAACCUAGUAACAGAGUCAGGUCGCACAGUCCAGAGAUUUGGAUGUAAAAAGUGGUGAUCCGGUGCAACUGGCUUGGCCAGGAGCGCCGGAGAACGGAGCGGAAGUUCCUUCUCCGCCAUCUUUAUUCCUGGCAGCGCCGUCCGGUCCGCCUGGAGUCCGGGCGGCUGGACUGGGAGCCACAUGAGGCCACAGGAGGCGGCGAGCGCAGCCAUGUGUGUUUUGAAAGAGCACUGCUCCUCCCCCACCCACCCAGGUGAGCUUGGGGUCUCCUGAUCUCUUGUGAUUUCAUACCAAGUUUAAGCAUUGUUUCUAGUUUUGUGUAAAAUGUUGUGAUAAUUUUAUGGCAAUUUCACUGAAUCUAUGUUAUUUGGGUUAUUUUAGCGAUCCAUGAUCAUGGUAGGUCUUUCUUUUUCUAAUGCCUUGUUUAAUUGAAAAUUUUCAUGUAAUAUGUUCUGAUCACACUUUUGCUCUCUCCCAACUCCUCCCCAAACUUCCCUACCCA
rnacentral:lncRNA from 1 species